GCUGAUGUUUGCAUUCCACAAGGCCAUUCUGUUGUGGAGUUUCAACACAGGAAGUUUGAUGAAUUGUACCUUCUGAAGCAUAAAAAAUAGGCAUAUCAAAUUCAAGACCAUUGUUACUUCUCAAGGUUUUAAUUGUAGCAGAAAACUUAGUUUCUACCAUAGCAAAGAAAGACUGCAAAACAACUUUUGUUUGAGACUUAUUCUGUAAAAGGAAAAAACCCAAGUAAAUCUGGUAAAGUCAUCAACAACAGUGAGGAAAU
rnacentral:misc_RNA from 1 species